rnacentral:rRNA from 1 species
UACGGAGUGGUGCGAGCGUUACUCGGAAUCACUGGGCAUAAAGAGCACGUAGGCGGGGAUGCAUGUCCGUGGUGAAAUCCCCCAGCUCAACUGGGGAACUGCUUCGGAAACUGUGUCUCUUGAGGACGAGAGGGGAGAGUGGAACUCUGGUGGAGCGGUGAAAUGCGUAGAUAUCAGAAGGAACACCGGUGGCGGCAAAGCGACUCGUCUGGCUCGUUUCUGACGCUGAGGUGCGAAAGCUUGGGUAGCAAACAGG